rnacentral:rRNA from 1 species
GCAAAACCGCGAGGUGGAGCAAAUCUCAAAAAGACCGUCCCAGUUCGGAUCGCAGGCUGCAACCCGCCUGCGUGAAGUUGGAAUCGCUAGUAAUCGCGGAUCAGCAUGCCGCGGUGAAUACGUUCCCGGGCCUUGUACACACCGCCCGUCACACCAUGAGAGUCGGGAACACCCGAAGUCCGUAGCCUAACCGCAAGGGGGGCGCGGCCGAAGGUGGGUUCGAUAAUUGGGGUGAAGUCGUAACAAGGUAGC